GUACCAGUUGUCGUGCCAACGGCAUAGCUGGGUAGCUAUGUGUGGACGGGAUAAGUGCUGAAAGCAUCUAAGCAUGAAGCCCCCCUCAAGAUGAGAUUUCCCAACUUCGGUUAUAAGAUCCCUCAAAGAUGAUGAGGUUAAUAGGUUCGAGGUGGAAGCAUGGUGACAUGUGGAGCUGACGAAUACUAAUCGAUCGAAGACUUAAUCAAAA
rnacentral:rRNA from 1 species